UAGCACCAUUAGAAUUCAGUUC
rnacentral:miRNA from 1 species